rnacentral:rRNA from 1 species
GAUGAACGCUGGCGGCGUGCUUAACACAUGCAAGUCGAACGGAACUACUCCAAUGAGAGUCUUCGGAAAGGACGGGGUUUAGUUUAGUGGCGGACGGGCGAGUAACGCGUGGGUAACCUGCCCUAUACAGGGGGAUAACAGUUGGAAACGACGGUUAAUACCGCAUAAGCGCACAGGAGCGCAUGCUCCGGGGUGAAAAACUCCGGUGGUAUAGGAUGGAGCCGCGUCUGAUUAGCUGGUUGGCGGGGUAACGGCCCACCAAGGCGACGAUCAGUAGCCGGCAGGGGAGGGUGCCCCGCUACGUUUGGACUGCGGCCCAGCCCCCUCCCCUACGGGGCGCAGCAGUAGAGUGUAUUACACGCUGAAGCCUACCGUGGUGCCGCCGCGUCGCGUGAGCGGGCAAGUAUCUCGGUAUGUACAUCUCUAUCAGCCGAGGCGAAAAUGACGGUACCUGUCUAAGAAGCCCCGGCUAACUACGUG